CUCGCACACGGAGAAGGAUGGAACUCACUGCUGAGUGCCUACAAAUUCUAGGCCUGAGGCGGCCAUGAGCGCCACGGCCUAGCUCAGCCCGGUCCCCGCGUGUCCUCGCCGGCUGCUAGGGCCCGGCCGGCCCGGGCCUUCGAGGUCCGCAGCACGGCGCAUAUGGCCGCGCUCGCCUCCCGCGUUGGCGGGAAGACUGGGAGCGCGGACGCGCGAGGCCAACCCGGAGCCUACCCAUGAGGCACUGCGCCCUGGCUCGCGACAGCCCCCUCCCCCCUCACGGCGCCCAGCAGCCCCGCUCCGCGAUGGGAGCCGGAGCGGCCUCGGCGUACACAGCCCGCGCUCCUCCCUCGCCUCCUCCUCUUUCUCCUCCUCCUCAGGGCUCCAGUCAGGCCGAGCCGCUCCGCUCACGAAAGGCAAGCUGAGAUACAACUUGCUGCUUUUUGUGGUCACAUGGUGACAACAUAUAUAAAGUCAGAUCUGCAACUUGAUGGGAGACAGUUCUUUCAACCAAAAGAUAAUUUAAAAAUGGCAGAACUCUUUAUGGAAUGUGAAGAAGAGGAGCUAGAGCCAUGGCAGAAGAAAGUGAAAGAAGUCGAAGAGGAUGAUGAUGAUGAGCCCAUCUUUGUUGCAGAGAUAGCAAGUUCAAAGCCAGCUAUUUCAAAUAUUUUGAACAGAGUUAACCCCAGCUCUCAUUCAAGAGGAAUAAAGAAUGGUAUACUCAAUCGAGGUUUUACUGCUUCAUUCAAGCCUACAAGUCAACGCUGCCUGAAUUCAGCAUCAAAUCCUGUGGCUGCCUUGCCAGUAAAUUUUCAUCCUGAAUCUAGAUCUUCAGAUAGCUCUGUUAUUGUUCAGCCAUUUUCUAAACCUGGUUAUGUAACAAAUUCACCAAGAGUUCUGUCUAAUAACUCUUCAGAGUUACUGUUUGACUUGACCCAGGAUACAGGAUUAUCACAUUACCAGGGGGGACCGACACUUUCUAUUGCAGGUUUGAAUGAAACUUCAUUUUUAUCAAAACGUCCUUCUGGUUCUGACAUAAGCAGUGUUAACCCAAAAAAGCCUAAACCCAGUGAAAAUACUUCUGGAAUAGAUGCCUCUUCUGUAAUCUCUUCAGAAAAGUCCCCAUCAGUGAUAUCUCUCCAAGUGGUGCCAUCGCAAGGUGCAAAUUGUUCAUCAAGUCAAUCUAAAAAUGGAACAACUUUUCCAAGAGCAUGUCCCAAGUGUGAUAUUCACUUCAAUCUUUUGGAUCCUCUAAAAAAUCACAUGACGUAUUGUUGUCCAGACAUGAUAAAUAACUUUUUGGGAUUGACUAAAGCAGACAAUUUAAAUUCAGCAAAUGAAGCUAAGACUCUUGAAUCAGAGAAAGGAAAAUUGAUAAUGUUAGUUAAUGACUUUUAUUACGGAAAACAUGAAGGAGACGUCCUGGAAGAACAGAAGACUCAUACAACCUUUAAGUGCUUCAGUUGCUUAAAAGUUCUCAAAAAUAAUAUUAGGUUUAUGAACCACAUGAAGCACCAUUUGGAGCUCGAGAAGCAGAGCAGCGAGAGCUGGGAGAAGCACACCACGUGCCAGCACUGCUACCGGCAGUUCCCCACGCCCUUCCAGCUCCAGUGCCACAUCGAGAGCACCCACACUCCUCAUGAGUUCUCCACCAUUUGUAAGAUCUGUGAGCUAUCAUUUGAAACUGAACAGAUUCUCUUACAACAUAUGAAGGAUAACCAUAAGCCUGGUGAAAUGCCAUACAUCUGCCAGGUUUGCAAUUACAGAUCAUCAUUAUUUUCUGAGGUAGAGUCUCAUUUUAGAACAUCACAUGAAAACACUAAGAAUUUGCUAUGUCCAUUCUGCCUCAAAGUUAUUAAAAUCGCCACGCCCUAUAUGCAUCAUUACAUGAAGCAUCAGAAAAAGGGAAUACAUCGUUGCACCAAAUGCAGACUGCAGUUUUUGACAUGCAAGGAAAAAAUGGAUCACAAGACUCAACAUCACCGAACAUUUGUAAAACCCAAGCAACUGGAAGGACUUCCCCCUGGAACAAAAGUUACUAUUCGAGCUUCAGUUGGACCUCUUCAGUCAGGAUCUUCAGUUACACCUUCUAUCAGCCCAAGCACUUCUACCCUCCAGCUCUCACCUCCAGAGCCUGACAAUGUAACUGCUAAAAAUCACGUGAAGUUGACUACAAGUACACCAAACACAACCAUAUCUGACCCCAGUAAAGCUAAUGAGACCAAGUCUAAUGGCAGUAAAUCUAAAAACAAGUCAAAAGUCUCCAACAUGCAGAAGAAACAAAGCACAUUGUCUAGUAGUAAUAAAAAAAGCAAAGUAAACACAGCACUAAGGAACUUAAGGUUACGUCGGGGUGUUCACGAGUGUAUUGAGUGUUCUUCUGAAGUAAAAGAUUUUGCAAACCAUUUUCCUACAUAUGUCCACUGUAGUUUUUGCAGAUAUAACACUAGCUGUAGCAAAGCCUAUGUAAAUCAUAUGAUGAGCUUUCAUAGUAACCGUCCAAGUAAAAGAUACUGUAUAUUUAAGAAGCAUUCAGAAAAUCUCAGGGGCAUUUCUCUAGUGUGCCUUAAUUGUGAUUUCCUAACUGACGUUUCUGGCUUAGAUAAUAUGGCUACACACUUAAGUCAGCAUGAAACUCAUUCUUGCCGAGUUCUAGUAGAGCAAGUUUCUGUUUGUAUCCCAACUUCUGAACGUCUUUCUGAAUGCAGAAGCAGCCCAGAGAUUUCAAAACAUGUCCAGGGUGUACCUGGACAGUGUCCCCUUCGAUGGACACAAGUGCUGCCUGUUCUCUCUUUCCCAGGAAUGAGAAUGAACUGACUGUGGGACCUGCUCUAGGUUCUGGCUUCCCAUCAGACUGAGGCUGAUCUGGCCAGAAACAGCCUCAAGGCCCACCAAAUAAGCAUAGCUCCCAUUGGUGGCUUUGGCUCUUAUUUCUUAAGCUUAUGGGCAAUUGUGAACAAGAAAAGCCCAUCAAAUCAAUGCUUUGAUACCCAAAUUAUGAUUUAGUCAUUUUGGCUGCUGCUCUUAAAUGUUCUUCAAGCACAAAGGCAGUCUAGAACAUCUAGACACCCUGGUUACGGGGAGAUAAUGGCUGUCUGGUCCUCAGAAAACAGUUCUCAUUGACAUGUUCUAAAAUUGCAGUUAUUUUUACUGUCAUUCAAUAUACAUUGUCCCAUAUUAAGUAUAAUUUUAAUAAAAUUCUCAGAUUCUUUUAUUUUUUUUUAAUUUAAAUCUGAUAGCUUCAUCUCUAUUCUCUGAAUUAUUAAUGUCUGGUUUUCUCUUCUAAAAGUUUAAUGGCAGGAAUCUCUUGAGUUCAUGUAGUUUACCUGUUUUUAGCUCUUAAGUUUAGGUAUUGUUUAGACCAUUAUGCCCUCUUCUUCUGUCUCUCUUUGAGGACUACUAAUCCAAGUAAUUGUGAAUUUUAAGGUAUAACAAACUUGUGAGACUUCUUGGAAAUUAUAAAAACAAGUUUUAAAAUAGCAUUUAAUAUUAAUGAGCCAUUAAUAUCAUUUCUUUGGGUAAAAAUAAUAUUAAAUAUACAAUGUCACCAAUAAUCCAGUUUUUUCCCACUUACAUAUUAAACUUGUCUCUCUUUUUUGCUAGCUACAUUGAUCAAUUAUUUUGAUCUAUUACUUUCAUAGAUCUUUAUUUGUUUCAGAAACUAUUUUCUAAUGAAUAGUGUUUUUAUAAAAUUAUAUUUUAUCCUACAUGUAGGAGCAUUGCUUUACUGCUAUGUGCGUCUGGUGAUUGGCAUGUCUCCUGAGAAUAUACCCAUUUAGUAGAAUAAAAACUGAAGCUCCCACUAAGGGACAAGAACCUGUGUCUAAGGAAACAGCAAGACAUAGUAGAGCUGAAGGAGAGCCAGGAGCAUCACAUUCUGGAAGUAAGCAGGAUAAAGUUCCUUCAUCAGAAGAAGGCACUGGGUGUGAUGCAAGUGUAUGUGAAGCUGCAGCAGCAACACACUGUGAAAAAGAUGUAACGGUUUCAGAUACAGAAAAUGUAAGCAGCUCAAAGAACAUCUUGAGUCAUGAUCCAGAUGUUGGAACAGAUACUAUGGAAAAGGAAGAAAAAACACAUCAUGCUUGUCAGGAAAUGGAGCUGAAGGUGGACCAGAGUUCAGAAAGCACAAAUCCCACUGAAGCUGAACUGUCUUCAGAGACUCGUCAAGGUUUGCAGUUAACAUCAGGGGAUGUUGGCAUUGAUCAAUUUCUGAGGCAAGGAGAUGAACCUAAAUCUGUGAAUUCUGAUGCUAGUGACCCAGGCAGUGUUCGUUUGGAACCUUUGACGCCAUCAGAAGUACUUGAGUAUGAAGCCACAGAGAUCCUCCACGACGGUGAUGAUCCUUCAGCUAACACCAGUGACACGGUAUCUGAUCAAACAGGUGGCAGUCCUGGAGGAAGUAACCCUUGUAGAGCAGAGACAGCAGUAGACCUGGCAGAUGGAGAGGAAAGAAGCUGAAGUGACAUAGUCAUUUCAAGUUUCAUUCCCAACAGCACUUAGAACAAUAGUGUCUGGUGAGCUCAGGAGUGCCGUGGUAAAGGGCAGCCGAGGGAGAUCUGAGGAGGUCUGUCAUACACUUCACCUGUGUGUUCAAUCUUAUUAAAUCAGUUUACCAGUAAUAGCAUGGUUAGUAUGAAUUUCCACAUUUAAAAAAACCUGAAUAGAACUUUAGUGAAAACUAAGUUUGUCAUCCAAAGGUCUCUUAGCACUUUUUGAUAAAAUCUUGUUUACCAAUAUGAAAUUAUUAUAAUACUAAUUGCUAUGUUCAUCAGACUUUUCCAACUUUCAUUAGUACUAAAAGUCCUCAUCACCUGAAUAUUUCUUUUAGUAAACUUAAAGGAAGAGAUUUAAAACCAUGCAUUUUUUAAAAAUACCUUUAAACUGCCUAUCAACUGUUACUGUUAAUGAAGACUUUGUUUUUACUAUGAUCCUGGUGAUAAAGCAUGCUUAGAGUGCUAAAUUGGCCUGUUGAGAACUUGGAUGAAUAUAAAAAUUAAGUUUGGAUUUAAUAUAACAUUCCAAUCUGUCAGAAGCAUGCAAACAGAAUUUUAGAAUCUGUGCACCUCCAUACAAGUGUUAGCCUGCCAGGCUGUCAGCUUACCUUUAUUAAACUUUCAGUGAAAGUGAAAUUAUGAAAAUAUAAGUUUAUAUUUGUGCUUUUAGUCAGUGUAUAAGCUGUGCAGAACCCCACCUCAGCCCCCAUGAACUAGUUGUAUAAAGUAGAAAUCUGUUAUUGAAGCUCUUAAAUAGCUACUAUGCUUUUAAUAUUAUUUCAAUGAUUUUUAGCAAUAGACCCAUAAAAAUGGUCUGGAAACCAAACCAAAGUAUGGUAGAAUGUAGGCAAAAAGAAUUGACCUAAAAACAUGCCUCCGCAUGUACUCAACUAUGUUAAGGGACUUCCUUAAUUGUAAAAGUUGAAACUUCAAAUGGGACCCUAAAGCAUAUGUUUAAAAACAAAAAAAAAAAAGUUUGUGGAAAUUAGCCUAAUUUAUCAGCUAUUAAGUUGAUUUUUAGAUAUAGAAAUGAAUAUAACAAACAAUUUCAUUUUAAGUACUAAUAAAAUUUUAUUUUAAAUGCUGCAUUUUUAAUUCUUAAGAUGUACUUUGAAUUCUUAAACUGUCUAAUUGAAUGUUAAACGUUUUCAAGGCCUGUUAAAAUUCUGUUGUAUAUAGUAGUUUUUGAGCAGAUAUUUGCAAUAAAAACCUGUCUUUGAAUAAUUUUAUAUUCAGA